CCGUAGCCCAAGAGAUCGGGAUAACACCUGGAAACAGAUGCUAAUACCGGAUAACAACAGAUGAUGCCUAUCAACUGUUUAAAAGAUGGUUCUGCUAUCACUCUUGGAUGGACCUGCGGUGCAUUAGCUAGUUGGUAGGGUAACGGCCUACCAAGGCGAUGAUGCAUAGCCGAGUUGAGAGACUGAUCGGCCACAUUUGGACUGAGACACGGCCCAAACUCCUACGGGAGGCAGCAGCU
rnacentral:rRNA from 1 species